rnacentral:rRNA from 1 species
CCUACGGGUGGCUGCAGUGGGGAAUAUUGGACAAUGGGCGAAAGCCUGAUCCAGCCAUGCCGCGUGUGUGAAGAAGGUCUUCGGAUUGUAAAGCACUUUAAGUUGGGAGGAAGGGCAUUAACCUAAUACGUUAGUGUUUUGACGUUACCGACAGAAUAAGCACCGGCUAACUCUGUGCCAGCAGCCGCGGUAAUACAGAGGGUGCAAGCGUUAAUCGGAAUUACUGGGCGUAAAGCGCGCGUAGGUGGUUUGUUAAGUUGGAUGUGAAAGCCCCGGGCUCAACCUGGGAACUGCAUCCAAAACUGGCAAGCUAGAGUACGGUAGAGGGUGGUGGAAUUUCCUGUGUAGCGGUGAAAUGCGUAGAUAUAGGAAGGAACACCAGUGGCGAAGGCGACCACCUGGACUGAUACUGACACUGAGGUGCGAAAGCGUGGGGAGCAAACAGGAUUAGAUACCCCAGUAGUC